UGAGGGACAUAUAACCUACAAUAGGGGGAUGAAACCAUACAAUACAAAAGGCAAAGCAAUGGAAACAAACAAGUUACAAAUCAAGCACCACACCUAAGACAAUCAAAUGACAUGGUAUCCUCGUACGAAAAUGAAUCAUUAGAGAUCAUGAUAUCUUAGGCAUCAUGGGAAUAUACGGAAUCAGCAAGGCACCUUUAACACAGAAUCUUGGUCAACGCAUUAGUCAUCAUGGGAGCAUGAAUGGUCAUUGGAACAAUCAAACAUACAUGUGGAGUAAAUGCGUGUGCAUUGAAUUACAGUAACAUGGAAGCCAAUAAUGGUCUUAAAAGCACAUGGGAAUUCUUUGAAUGGGGUUAAUGAUUACAAUAUUAAAACACGUGAAGAAUGAAAAUAAAGAAGCUCAGAAUAAAAUUGAAAAGCCAACUUCAGCCUCUCUCACUCAGUCACCGUCUCCGCCGCGCCGGAGGCUCCCUCGACGGCAGAGAUUUUCCAAAAAUUGAAAAUUAGCCAUCAAAACUCUCCCUCUCAAUGUCCUCUACAUGAAUCCAGUAACGAUUUCACCCAAAUCCUAUCCUAAAGUUCUAAUCGAAGCGAAAUGUGGAAGAACCCUAAAUAUUGAAAAUAAAGUUAAAUCAUCCUCACUCGGAAUCAAAGCCCAAGUGGUUGAGGCUUUGAUUCCUCAACCUUCAAAUUGAAUGCAUGUAACAAGAUUGAAACAAAAAGAGGGAAUCGAAGCUUACGCUACUGGAGCAGAUGUAGUGGACGACGACAAUCCGGUCAGGACUAUGGCAAAGUUUUGACUGGAUGUUUGCUCAUGGUUGCAAGGUGGUGUGCAAUGGCAAAGUUGGUUGCUGCAAACUGAUUAGAUGUAGGUGGUUUGUUACAAGGUCUGCUAUGAUGUGUCAUGUUUGUGCAGGGGUAUUGCAAGAUGGAUGGCAGGUUUGAUGCAAGGUUUGAUGGUCCAUGGCUUGUGCAGAACUGCCUGUGCAUUGCUAGGCAUUGUAGUAUGGUAUGGCUUGGGAAUUGAAGUGUAUGGGUUGUUAGGUUUUAGGUGUUACUCAUGGUUUAUGUCAUGUAGGAUAAGUCAUAGGCAUGUAUGGUUGUAUGUAAUUGGUCAAGUUGACUUGUAAAUAUUAUAUGUAAUUUGGAUUCACAUUGUAUAUAAAUGGUUGUAUGAAAUGAUGGAAUUGAAUUUGGAACUGUAAUGGUUAUGGUUUAUAAAUGGUUUUGGAGUUUGGCUCA